rnacentral:rRNA from 1 species
GGAGCUUGCUCCUCUGACGUUAGCGGCGGACGGGUGAGUAACACGUGGAUAACCUACCUAUAAGACUGGGAUAACUUCGGGAAACCGGAGCUAAUACCGGAUAAUAUAUUGAACCGCAUGGUUCAAUAGUGAAAGACGGUUUUGCUGUCACUUAUAGAUGGAUCCGCGCCGCAUUAGCUAGUUGGUAAGGUAACGGCUUACCAAGGCAACGAUGCGUAGCCGACCUGAGAGGGUGAUCGGCCACACUGGAACUGAGACACGGUCCAGACUCCUACGGGAGGCAGCAGUAGGGAAUCUUCCGCAAUGGGCGAAAGCCUGACGGAGCAACGCCGCGUGAGUGAUGAAGGUCUUCGGAUCGUAAAACUCUGUUAUUAGGGAAGAACAAAUGUGUAAGUAACUAUGCACGUCUUGACGGUACCUAAUCAGAAAGCCACGGCUAACUACGUGCCAGCAGCCGCGGUAAUACGUAGGUGGCAAGCGUUAUCCGGAAUUAUUGGGCGUAAAGCGCGCGUAGGUGGUUUUUUAAGUCUGAUGUGAAAGCCCACGGGCUCAACCGUGGGAGGGUCAUUGGGAAACUG